rnacentral:rRNA from 1 species
GGGUUGUGAGGUUAAGCGACUAAGCGUACACGGUGGAUGCCCUGGCAGUCAGAGGCGAUGAAGGACGUGCUAAUCUGCGAAAAGCGUCGGUAAGGUGAUAUGAACCGUUAUAGCCGGCGAUGUCCGAAUGGGGAAACCCAGUGUGAUUCGUCACACUAUCGUUAACUGAAUACAUAGGUUAACGAGGCGAACCGGGGGAACUGAAACAUCUAAGUACCCCGAGGAAAAGAAAUCAACCGAGAUUCCCCCAGUAGCGGCGAGCGAACGGGGAGCAGCCCAGAGUCUGAAUCAGCUUGUGUGUUAGUGGAACGGUCUGGAAAGUCCGACGGUACAGGGUGAUAGUCCCGUACACCAAAAUGCACAGGUUGUGAACUCGAAGAGUAGGGCGGGACACGUGGUAUCCUGUCUGAAUAUGGGGGGACCAUCCUCCAAGGCUAAAUACUCCUGACUGACCGAUAGUGAACCAGUACCGUGAGGGAAAGGCGAAAAGAACCCCGGCGAGGGGAGUGAAAAAGAACCUGAAACCGUGUACGUACAAGCAGUGGGAGCACCUUCGGGUGUGACUGCGUACCUUUUGUAUAAUGGGUCAGCGACUUAUAUUCUGUAGCAAGGUUAACCGUAUAGGGGAGCCGCAGGGAAACCGAGUCUUAACUGGGCGUUAAGUUGCAGGGUAUAGACCCGAAACCCGGUGAUCUAGCCAUGGGCAGGUUGAAGGUUGGGUAACACUAACUGGAGGACCGAACCGACUAAUGUUGAAAAAUUAGCGGAUGACUUGUGGCUGGGGGUGAAAGGCCAAUCAAACCGGGAGAUAGCUGGUUCUCCCCGAAAGCUAUUUAGGUAGCGCCUCGUGAAUUCAUCUUCGGGGGUAGAGCACUGUUUCGGCUAGGGGGUCAUCCCGACUUACCAACCCGAUGCAAACUACGAAUACCGAAGAAUGUUAUCACGGGAGACACACGGCGGGUGCUAACGUCCGUCGUGAAGAGGGAAACAACCCAGACCGCCAGCUAAGGUCCCAAAGUCAUGGUUAAGUGGGAAACGAUGUGGG